UACGUAGGGUGCGAGCGUUGUCCGGAAUUAUUGGGCGUAAAGAGCUCGUAGGCGGUGUGUCGCGUCGGCCGUGAAAACUUGGGGCUUAACCCUGAGCUUGCGGUCGAUACGGGCAUGACUGGAGUUCGGCAGGGGAGACUGGAAUUCCUGGUGUAGCGGUGAAAUGCGCAGAUAUCAGGAGGAACACCGGUGGCGAAGGCGGGUCUCUGGGCCGAUACUGACGCUGAGGAGCGAAAGCGUGGGGAGCAAACAGG
rnacentral:rRNA from 1 species